rnacentral:rRNA from 1 species
GGGGGAUAUUGCACAAUGGGGGGAACCCUGAUGCAGCAACGCCGCGUGAGUGAAGAAGGCCCUAGGGUCGUAAAGCUCUGUCGUAUGGGAAGAAACAAAUGACUGUACCAUACAAGAAAGCCCCGGCUAACUACGUGCCAGCAGCCGCGGUAAUACGUAGGGGGCAAGCGUUAUCCGGAAUUACUGGGCGUAAAGGGUGCGUAGGCGGCUAGUUAAGUCGAGGUUAAAAGGCAGUAGCUCAACUACUGUUGGGCCUUGAAACUAAUUAGCUUGAGUAUAGGAGAGGAAAGUGGAAUUCCCGGUGUAGCGGUGAAAUGCGUAGAUAUCGGGAGGAAUACCGGUGGCGAAGGCGACUUUCUGGACUAUAACUGACGCUGAGGCACGAAAGCGUGGGUAGCAAACAGGAUUAGAUACCCUGGUAGUCCACGCCGUAAACGAUGAACACUAGGUGUCGGGAGGAAUUUCGGUGCCGGCGCAAACGCAAUAAGUGUUCCGCCUGGGGAGUACGUUCGCAAGGAUA